CCUACGGGUGGCAGCAGUGAGGAAUAUUGGUCAAUGGGCGGAAGCCUGAACCAGCCAAGUAGCGUGCAGGAUGACGGCCCUACGGGUUGUAAACUGCUUUUAUACGGGAAUAACGCGCCGUACGUGGAGGGCUUUGCAUGUACCGUAUGAAUAAGGACCGGCUAAGUCCGUGCCAGCAGCCGCGGUAAUACGGAAGGUCCGGGCGUUAUCCGGAUUUAUUGGGGUUAACGGGAGCGUAGGCCGCAUGUCAAGCGUGCUGUGAAAUGUCCGGGCGCAACCCGGGCCUUGCAGCGCGAACUGGCGUGCUUGAGUCCGCGGCACGCAGGCGGACUUCGUCGUGUAGCGGU
rnacentral:rRNA from 1 species